rnacentral:tRNA from 2 species
GCCAGCGUGGUGAAAUUGGUAUACACGGGGGAUUCAAAAUCCCCUUUCGAAAGAAGUGUCGGUUCGAGUCCGACCGCUGGUACCA